UCCAUUUUCUACGUUGCUGUCGUCGUUGUUAUAAUUGGAGUCCUUGAACCAUCAUGGUUGCAUCUACCAAACUAUCUGGACUCGGAGUCCAACACAACAGUGAAAUCUGACUCUGCCUACUCUUCCCUAUACCUGGAGAAAAAGAAACCUGUCCUGCUUCCAACUUUUCAAAAGUUUUACUCCGGACCAGAAACUAUACUCUAAGAAGUGAAAGUUUUUAAGUAAUGUAACUUUUAGUAUUUAUUUUAAUUGUAGGGUGUCACAAAUACCAAUAGACAUUUCAAGAUUCA